UCUUUGCAAGGUGAACGAAUCUUUCCAUCAUAAAUGUCACAACAUUGACAUGUCGACCUUGGUCGACACAGAGUAAGAUGAAAAGUUCAUCUCGUGACACUAUGGUGUUGUUCGCUUCUUUAUUUGCAAGGUGAACGAAUCUUUCCAUCAUAAAUGUCACAACAUUGACAUGUCGACCUUGGUCGACACAGAGUAAGAUGAAAAGUUCAUCUCGUGACACUAUGGUGUUGUU
rnacentral:lncRNA from 1 species